GGGGAAUUUUCCGCAAUGGGCGAAAGCCUGACGGAGCAAUACCGCGUGAGGGAGGAAGGCUCUUGGGUUGUAAACCUCUUUUCUCAGGGAAUAAGAACUGAAGGUACCUGAGGAAUCAGCAUCGGCUAACUCCGUGCCAGCAGCCGCGGUAAUACGGAGGAUGCAAGCGUUAUCCGGAAUGAUUGGGCGUAAAGCGUCCGCAGGUGGUUUAUCAAGUCUGCUGUCAAAGAGUUUGGCUCAACCAAAUAAAGGCAGUGGAAACUGACAGACUGGAGUGCGGUAAGGGCAGAGGGAAUUCCUGGUGUAGCGGUGAAAUGCGUAGAGAUCAGGAGGAACACCGGUGGCGAAAGCGCUCUGCUGGGCCGUAACUGACACUGAGGGACGAAAGCUAGGGGAGCGAAUGGGAUUAGAUACCCCAGUAGUC
rnacentral:rRNA from 1 species